GAAAUGCGAUAAGUAAUGUGAAUUGCAGAAUUCAGUGAAUCAUCGAAUCUUUGAACGCACCUUGCGCUCCUUGGUAUUCCUUGGAGCAUGUCUGUUUGAGUAUCAUGAAAUCUUCAAAGUAAAUCUUUUGUUAACUCAAUUGGUUUCUACUUUGGUAUUGGAGGUCUUUGCAGCUUCACACCUGCUCCUCUUUGUUCAUUAGCUGGAUCUCAGUGUUAUGCUUGGUUCCACUCGGCGUGAUAAGUUAUCUAUCGCUGAGGACACUGUAAAAGGUGGCCAAGGUAAAUGCAGAUGAACCGCUUCUAAUAGUCCAUUGACUUGGACAAUACUUUUAUGAUCUGAUCUCAAAUCAGGUAGGACUACCCGCUGAACUUAGC
rnacentral:misc_RNA from 1 species